UACAGAGGUCUCAAGCGUUGUUCGGAUUCAUUGGGCGUAAAGGGUGCGUAGGCGGCGCGGUAAGUCGGGUGUGAAAUCUCGGAGCUUAACUCCGAAACUGCAUUCGAUACUGCCGUGCUUGAGGACUGGAGAGGAGACUGGAAUUUAUGGUGUAGCGGUGAAAUGCGUAGAUAUCGUAAGGAAGACCAGUGGCGAAGGCGGGUCUCUGGGCCGGUACUGACGCUGAGACGCGAAAGCGUGGGGAGCGAACAGG
rnacentral:rRNA from 1 species